rnacentral:rRNA from 1 species
UUUAAAGAGAGUUUGAUCCUGGCUCAGGACGAACGCUGGCGGCGUGCCUAAUACAUGCAAGUCGAACGAACGGAGGAAGAGCUUGCUCUUCCAAAGUUAGUGGCGGACGGGUGAGUAACACGUGGGCAACCUGCCUGUAAGUUGGGGAUAACUCC